UACAGGGGGGGCAAGCGUUUGUUCGGAAUUACUGGGCGUAAAGGGCUCGUAGGCGGCCAACUAAGUCCGACGUGAAAUCCCAAAGCUUAACUUUGGAACUGCGUCGGAUACUGGAUGGCUUGAAUUCGGGAGAGGGAUGCAGAAUUCCAGGUGUAGCGGUGAAAUGCGUAGAUAUCUGGAGGAAUACCGGUGGCGAAGGCGGCAUCCUGGACCGACAUUGACGCUGAGGAGCGAAAGCGUGGGGAGCGAACAGG
rnacentral:rRNA from 1 species